rnacentral:rRNA from 1 species
GACGUAGGGAGCGAGCGUUGUCCGGAUUCAUUGGGCGUAAAGAGCGCGCAGGCGGUUUGGUAAGUCGGAUGUGAAAACCCGGGGCUCAACCCCGGGCGUGCAUCUCGAUACUGCCCGACUAGAGGUAGGUAGGGGAGAUCGGAAUUCCUGGUGUAGCGGUGAAAUGCGCAGAUAUCAGGAAGAACACCAAUGGCGAAGGCAGCUCUCUGGGACGGUACUGACGCUGAGACGCGAAAGCGUGGGGAGCGAACAGG